rnacentral:rRNA from 1 species
UAAUACGGAGGGUGCAAGCGUUAAUCGGAAUUACUGGGCGUAAAGCGCACGCAGGCGGUUUGUUAAGUCAGAUGUGAAAUCCCCGAGCUUAACUUGGGAACUGCAUUUGAAACUGGCAAGCUAGAGUCUUGUAGAGGGGGGUAGAAUUCCAGGUGUAGCGGUGAAAUGCGUAGAGAUCUGGAGGAAUACCGGUGGCGAAGGCGGCACCCUGGACAAAGACUGACGCUCAGGUGCGAAAGCGUGGGGAGCAAACAGGAUUAGAUACCCUGGUAGUCCACGCUGUAAACGAUGUCGACUUGGAGGUUGUGCCCUUGAGGCGUGGCUUCCGGAGCUAACGCGUUAAGUCGACCGCCUGGGGAGUACGGCCGCAAGGUUAAA